UCCCACCCCAGCAAGUCCACGGACCUGAGCUUGACCUGAAGCGCAAAACAGUGAUGCCUGGUCCUGCACUGCUCUGGAGUGGGCACUCUGUGUGCUUCAGAAGGUAGAUGGGGGCCUAGGAACCUCACUGUUGGAGAAGGCAGGAAGGGAGUGGGAGCAGGAGCAAGAAGAAGAAGAGACGCAAGAGGAAGAGCAGGAGCAGAAGGGAGAGGAGGGGAAGGCAUUCCAGG
rnacentral:lncRNA from 1 species